rnacentral:rRNA from 1 species
AAGUAGAACGGUGAAGAGAGGAGCUUGCUCUUCUUGGAUGAGUUGCGAACGGGUGAGUAACGCGUAGGUAACCUGCCUGGUAGCGGGGGAUAACCUAUUGGAAACGAUAGCUAAUACCGCAUGAUAUUAAUUGUUCGCAUGAUAAUUAAUUGAAAGAUGCAAUUGCAUCACUACCAGAUGGACCUGCGUUGUAUUAGCUAGUUGGUGAGGUAACGGCUCACCAAGGCGACGAUACAUAGCCGACCUGAGAGGGUGAUCGGCCACACUGGGACUGAGACACGGCCCAGACUCCUACGGGAGGCAGCAGUAGGGAAUCCUCGGCAAUGGGGGGAACCCUGACCGAGCAACGCCGCGUGAGUGAAGAAGGUUUUCGGAUCGUAAAGCUCUGUUGUAAGAGAAGAACGGGUGUGAGAGUGUUUUUCUCCACACU